rnacentral:rRNA from 1 species
UACGUAGGUGGCAAGCGUUGUCCGGAAUCAUUGGGCGUAAAGCGCGCACAGGCGGUCCCUUAAGUCUGAUGUGAAAGCCCACGGCUCAACCGUGGAGGGUCAUUGGAAACUGGGGGACUUGAGUGCAGAAGAGGAAAGCGGAAUUCCAAGUGUAGCGGUGAAAUGCGUAGAGAUUUGGAGGAACACCAGUGGCGAAGGCGGCUUUCUGGUCUGUAACUGACGCUGAGGCGCGAAAGCGUGGGGAGCAAACAGG